ensembl:lncRNA
UUUUCCUCUUAUACAUUUUUUUUUUUAUCUUAAAUAAUACAAAUGCGCUGUGCUAGGACUAAGUUCCAAGAAUGCCCAGUACUUCCAUGCUGCAUUGAAAUAUAUAUCUGUAUACACACGUACACCCACACACUCACGUCACCGAAGGAGCAAAGCGCUUGGUGAGUUUUGUACAUCUUAGAAUUAACCUCCCACUUCAUCUAGACCCGUUCUGGAACAAAAACUCUCUACUUAUUCCAUCCAGAACUUUCUACUAUAGCAAUGACAAUUCACAAUGCAAAGGAAGAGCAAAAAUACUCAGUACUUGCUAUGUAAGACUGUUUAUGUAAUCAUGUUUACAAUGUUUUGCUGCGACAUAAUGAAAAACAAGGAUCAUUUUCUAUGAAAAGCCUGCUUUUUGUGUGUUAGUAUAGAGGGUGAAAUAUUGGGAUGCUGUAAUGACACCGGAUCAUAUAAAAUGACUAACAGGUGGAAAUAUUACAGUGCUGCGAUCUACUUUAAGCCAAAUGAUUCUUGCAUGGACAACGAAUGCCAUGUUGUGACUCUAUCGACUACAUGCUAAUCCACGUCGUCAUCACAUGCAGGGUAAUGAGAUUCAAAAGAUCGACAGAAAUGUACAACAGCACCUUGUGUACAUAAUUAAUCUCUAGUGUUCCCAUACCGAGUAGUUUUUUGCAAUCAUUGCAAACUAUUCGUCAUCUCCAUACAGGCAUGUUUGGAUAUGAAAAGCUGUUUUAACCAUAUCAAAGUCUUUUUUUCCCCCUCUACUUAUAAUUUAAAAAGAACACUAGUACUUUCUUAGCUAACCGUAAAAAGUAAAAUAUUGUAAUAAAUGUUGUGCGUCAAGAAAAUAUGGUUGUAAUGCAGUUGAAAACAAGACAUCAGAACCAAGGUUUAGAAAAAGUGUGGGGACUGUAUACACAAUAUACAAAAGAUUUCAUUCAAUGACCCCUUCAUCUCUUAUAGCAUUAUAAUCUUAUUUUCAAAACCAACAGUAUCUGUCAGCUGUGCUACCUACAACAUAAACAUUAUAUUGUCCGAUUGCUGUUUCCCGAAAUUAAAAAAAAAAAAAAAAAAAAAAAAGAACAAAACGCAAAUCUCACUACAAAGAAACAGUGGAUGAAAAACUGAAAGGAAGUGAUAUGCAUUCUUUCAUGCUGUACAUUUGGCCUAUACUGUCAAACAUGGGUAUCUUAUGCACUGACUGGAGUCAUCUGCAUACUAUACUAGUACAGAAAUCACAUUUCUAGCUAUCACAACAGUACACGUGUGACUGAUAUACACUCAGGUUUGUUUAAUAGUAAGAGGAAUGGAUAGAUAAUGACUUAAAACUUGGUGCGUGUUAGCACUGAAGCACAUUUGUCCUCAUUUGUGAAUGAAACCAUAACGAGUAUAUGCUUGUUCGCUUCAAGGCUUUACAUGAGAAGGAAAAAAACAAAAAAAAAGAAGAAGAAAAAAAAAAAGGCAUGUGUUUUUGUUUUUGGAAAACUCUCAGUUCCAGCUGCCUUAUACUCUGUGUCACCUACGCUGAGUGUAGUGAAUUAGAUCAAAAAGUCUUAGCAGCCUUUUCCUAAUAGCAGGAAAUCACGCUUUGUCGAACGUUCGUAGUUACUUGUAGUCAGUAGAAGAAAACGACAGUCUUACAUCAUGCUUUUCUCUUCACAAAAAUGGAAGGGCUCAUUCCAGUUCAGUGGUCCAAUGCACCCAGGUGAUUGUGCUGCCUGGAAAAAGUUGCAGCUUGUAUUUUUUUUUUCUGGCCUUUCUAGUCUUCCUGAAUUGACCUCGAGGUCAAUUUUUUUCCCCCCUUUUUCUUUUCUAUCUCAGCAGGAAAGAGUGAGGGUCACUAUAGUGCAAUGAGACUCGUAAGGAAUGGCUUUUUUAGCACAAACUGCUGCAUGAUACAAACCGAGCUAAGCUAAGGUAAAAAAGCAAAACAGCCAUGAAUGGGAGGACGAAAACCUCCUGUUGAUUCUUUUUCAUAGCAGACAACCUAUUACUAUUAAAGGCACAAAAAAAGACCAUAUGAAAUAGCUUUUUUCAUAUCGAUCUCAUAUAUGAAACAAGCGUAUCUAAAAGGUAACGCUGGGGAAAACCAAUGGCAC